UUAGUCGAUUUACCAUGGAUCGUAAAAACAGACAUAGACUUGGACAGCUCGUGGAAUUAUAUAAAAAGAAACUUUUACCCGUGUGUAUGAGAAGUGGAUGGAUAUGGUUACAUUACAUCAGCAUGGAGCCAGUCAUCCCAAAUGUUCAUCUAAAAAAAUCAACGACCAGAAAUGUCAAGAGCCGGCUUGUUUUGUUAUAAGAGGAUGUAUAUAUGAGGAUCUUUCUAGUUCAAUGUCAAACAAAUAUGUAUGUUCAAAAGCAAAGAAAUAUUAUUUACUAAUAAAAAACACCCAACUGUUAUUUAUAGGCAUAAGGAGGCUGAGGAUCUUAAGCCAGUUCUCUUUUGAAAAACUAAAACAAAGAAAGAAAAAAUGGAAGUACAAAUCAUUUCCAAAGAAAAGAUCAAACCUUCUUGUCCAACACCAGACCACCUAAAGACUCACAAGCUUUCCAUUAUCGAUCAAUUAGCUAUUCAAUGCUAUGUUCCUGUUAUUAUUUUUUAUUCACCAUCCCAUAAUCAAGAUUCUAGCCAAAUAUCAACUCAGCUCAAGAAAUCAUUAUCAGAAACAUUAACCCAUUUCUACCCUCUCGCAGGAAAAGCUAUAAAUGGUUCUUUUAUUGAUUGCAAUGAUGAUGGAGCAAGUUUUGUUGAAGCAAACAUUGUUGGUGACAUGUCUAUGGUACUUAACCAAUCUAAAAUUGAAUUGUUGCGGUUGCUUUUACCUAGUAAGCUAAAUGAGAAUUUUGCUGAAAAAGAAAUAGUUUCUGUUCAAGUUAAUUAUUUUACUUCUGGUGGGAUAGUUAUUAGUGUUUGCAUUAAGCAUUUGAUUGCUGAUGCAUCAACAGUAGCUUCUUUUGUUGAAGUUUGGGGUAAUAUUGCUCGUUGUGCGACUAACAGUGUUUCUAAUGGCAUAAUCUUUGACCGUACUGGUCUUUUUCCUCCUGUUAAUAAUAAAAUAGAAGGUUUAUCAUGGGUUGAAGGUUCGUUAUUACCUGAAACUGUGACUAAGAGGUUUUUGUUCGACGGUUUGAAGAUUGCUGCACUAAGAGAAAU
rnacentral:lncRNA from 1 species